AGAGCUCAGUGCUCAACCCAUCACUGGACUAAUGGACAGACCAUGGCCCUCCAGGCAGUUCUAGGCAGGUCCCAGCAAAAAGUACUGGGGUAGAAACCAAGGACCAGGCCUACAGAAACAGGGACCCCAGGGGCUUCCAAGGGGGAGUGCUGACUGCCGCAGGCUUUUCAAAAUGCAGGUAUCUCUGGAGCUGUUUUGUGGACACCAGGAGCAUUACUUGACAAGCCCUGUGCUGGCCCCAGGGUACCCUGUGCACCUGAUUAAGGCUGGAACACAUUAGGAACAGGGACCCAUCAUGCCCACUCCGGAACAGCGUGGGACCUGGGGAAAUUGCCAGUUGUUUGCUGUCCUACUGUUGCUGUUCUACACAUCCCUUGAGACUAUGAGCUUCGGUUACAGUGUGGUAAUGGCGGAAGGAAUGUCUGGCAACCCACCAAGGGUCAGAUGCCACAUCAGCCCGAGCGAAGCUGCCAGACACUGGCUGUUCCAAUGACAAUUAGACAUUCUUGGGAAGGUGGAGCCAUUCGUGAGAGCUCAGGAUGGGUGUCCUGGAAGUGCCACUUAAAGGCGACUGAGGCCUCUCAAAAUCCCUGUGUUAGAGCUGCAGCUCUCCAUGUGGGCUGCAGUGCAGUCACCUAUGGAGCUUUAGGACAGGCCCAGGGCUCAGCUCCCUGGACCAGUGCCUUCAGAACUUUUGCAGCAGGGAUAGCCGGCUUGGAAAGUCAUGCCUGGGAGACCA
rnacentral:lncRNA from 1 species